GUAAUAGCAAGGUUAUUGACUGUGGACGUGGAGCACAGCCAACCAUUGUUGACCUGAGGAGAGACCCAAUUUGAGUCUUCCAUAUGUUCAUUUUUGUGAUCCUCGUGUCUUCUCUCAUCCCUCCACUCUUAUCUUCCUUCAUCGUCUCAUUCUAUCGGUUGAUUGCCAGUCCAAUUCCGGUGUGCUAACCACAUAUUCGAUCGUGUAGGGAUCCAAAUCUGAGAAAUAUGCCAGCUUUUGACAGUGGGAAUACAACUACAAACGGCGUGUAUCAAGCCGACGAAUUGUGCCGUUGGUUUUCAUUUGUUGAGAUUCAAUCCGCGACCAACAAUUUCGAUGAUACUUUGGUCAUUGGGAAAGGUGGAUUCGGUAAGGUGUAUAAAGGGUUCAUCGACGGUGGAGCUACCACUGUCGCCAUUAAGCGGUCGAAUGCAGAGUCCAAACAAGGGGCAGCAGAGUUUUGGACUGAGAUCAAGACGCUUUCCAAGCUCAGGCACACACAUCUUGUGACUCUGAUUGGCUACUCUGAUGAUUGCGAGGAGAUGAUACUUGUUUACGAAUACAUGGCCAAUGGGACACUCGCCGAUCAUCUCUACAAAAAGAGUAGGAAAGGAAAUGGGAAUGAUAUUUAUCAUCUUACUUGGGAGGAGAGGCUCAAGAUUUGUAUUGGUGCUGCCCAUGGAUUGGACUACCUUCAUACGGAUGCGGAGAAAGGCGUCAUACACAGGGAUGUGAAGACCACAAACAUACUGUUGGACGAGAAUUGGGUAGCUAAGAUUUCAGAUUUCGGAUUGUCUAAAACGGUAAACACAAGCCAUACACGAACCCACGUUAGUACAGAUGUAAAAGGCACAUUCGGUUAUUUAGAUCCAGCAUAUUUCUUGACUCAUAGACUAACCAAAAAAUCAGAUGUGUAUGCUUUUGGUGUGGUUCUAUUUGAAGUUUUAUGUGCAAGGCCACCGGUGGAUACAAGUGUUGAGGAGGAGCAAAUGGGUCUAGCCCUAUGGGCUCAAAAAUGCAUAAAAAUGGGAACCCUUGACCAGAUCGUUGAUCCCUCUAUAAGAGGACAAAUAUCACCAAAUUGUCUAAAAGUGUUUGCAGAAGUUGCUAACAAAUGUUUACAUAAUUAUCCAAAAGGAAGGCCUACAAUGAGUGAAGUUAUGGGGAGCCUCAAGCAAGGAUUGGCAUCACAGGGCAAUAUUCUUAUAUCUCGAAAAAAGGGAAUAAUAAGCGAUCUGUUUUUGAGUACUACACAUGUAGUGGCUAAAGGUAUUGAUCUUGGGUGGAGGAAGUGGAAGAACUGGGGUCCUAAGAAUGGAGUGUCAGGGCAGUUGUGGAGGGAUCUUGUUGAAAAUGGUGUCAUUCAAUCAUUCCGUCGUUUCUCUCUGACAGAGAUUCGAGUAGUCACAAAUAAUUUUCAUGAGCUUUUGGUGAUUGGGCAAGCUGCUGACACCAAAGUGUAUAGAGGCCAUAUCAACCGUGGGAAUCUUGAGGUGGCAGUUAAAAGAUGGAAAGAGGGAACAUCAAGAGAGAGUAACUUGGACCAAUUUACGGCUGAGAUCCAGGAGCACUCCCAUCUACGUCACCUUCACAUUGUUUCUUUAAUUGGAUACUACAUUGAUAAGCAUGAACUGAUCCUUGUGUACGAGUAUAUGGCCCAUGGGUCUCUCUACAAUCACCUCAAUGAAACCAACAAGUGUUCACUUAACUGGGAAAAGCGACUUGAGAUUUGUAUUGGUGUUGCACGAGGAUUGCAAUACCUCCAUAUGGGUACGAGGCAACCAAUCAUUCAUUGGAACCUGAAUCCCCACUAUAUUUUGUUGGAUGAGAAUUGGAAUGCGAAAGUACUACACCACACUGUAUCAAGUACAUGCACCGUGGGAUAUGAGGAUCCAGAAUACCUUGUCGAUGCACAAUUUACUACAAAAUCCAAUGUGUACUCAUUCGGCGUCAUCUUACUUGAACUAUUGUGUGGUAGGAAGCCAAUGAUCUAUUCAAGGGACGAGGAUCAAGUGAAUUUAGUUCGUUGGUUCAAAACUAAUAUCGAAAUGGGUACCAUUGAUCAGAUCAUUGAUCCGUAUCUAAUCAACAAAAUAGCACCGGAAUGUUUGAAAGAAUAUGUCAAGAAUGCAGAAAAUUGCACAUGUGAUGAGGGGAUUGAGCGUCCAUCGAUGGAUGAUGUGUUGGGUAACCUCCGGUAUGCACUGCAACUGCAGAAGACUUGGCGGAAUAGUAAUGACCAGUUCAGUACAGUUGAGUCCCCUGACGUCAUUCCUAGUUCAGAUGGUACUGUGAUUGUUGAAUUAGCCAGAAGAGGAGAUAUUGAUGAAGAGAGUUUUACAAGUAUGGGGGAUUCUGAUUAUUUUUCUGGUAAUCUAGCACGGUAGCACAACUGUGGUCUUUACAAUGUGCAAACAUGAGGCCUUUCCAACUGAAACAGCAUAAUGCUGCCUGUGUUAAUCGAUUGCAUUCCCAUGGGAUUGGAACACUAGAUGUGAUUGAGGGUUUUCUGAAGAGUUGUUCGCACAAAUUCCACAUUUGUGUUUUCGACUGAAACCCUAAUUAGAGGAACCUCUUCGCCAACGGAUCACCUUCAACAAUAGUUGAUCAAUCUCUGCCGGUGAGGGUUUGACGUUGUCGUCUCCAGAGACAUACAUACAGAUACAAUGGACAGUGUUCGUUGUCGUAUACGCUGAUUACGCCAUUGUCGUAAUUUCAAACAUCGACAAUGAAAGGCGAAGGUAUGUAAUGUUUGACACUUUAAUUGUUGAUGUGUGCUACAAUUUGUUACCCUUUAUUUGUAUUCGAUUUUAGUUUUGUGAUUUGAGUCGUCAUUGCAUGCCUUAAUUGGUUGAUGUAAUGUGCAAUGUGAGAUUUGGGAUAAAUUUAACAUUGUGAUUUUGAUAUAUGACAAUUCCCGCACAUCAAAUGUGUAUGAUUAGACAUUAUGUUCGUAUGGUUUUAAUGUUAUAGUGUUCUGUAUUGAAUGUUAAUAGUCAAAGUUAUUUAUUAGUUUAUGGUGGAAGGGGUAUGUUGAUAUUGUUGUGUGUAUUUAUAGUCGGAAGAAUGCCAAAUUAGGACGUAGGAUAUGCAUUCUGUUGUUGUGGUAAUUUAUACAUGUAGGUGUUGUUAACAUCAUUCAUCCAAUGCAGGUAACGGGGUUUUGCGUCCCGACAUUGGUUGUGCAUGUUGGUUUUAAAGUGAGAUCAACGGGUACGUAGUUAUGUUUCCUGUGUGUUGUAUCAAUAUGUUCAAUGUGGAAAUAUGUUAUGUACUAUAAGUGUGUGUCUUGCAAUAUGGUAUUUCAUUUCGUAAUGUUUGUGAUUUAUGUUGGACUCAUCGUAAUAUGCUUAGUGUGUAAUGUAGUAUGUCGUGAUGUUUCCUAGAAAAAGCAAAAUUGAUUCUCAUGAUACAAGAAAACAACAUCAGCAAUUGAAACCCAUCAACCGUAUAUCACUCUACAAAAAUCAAACAUACAAAAAUGGAAAUAUAAAAUGUUACCCUCUCAAUCAUUACACACAAAUGAGCAAAAAAGAAUCCCCCAAAAUCCUAAGGGUAAAUGCAUAAACUCCACACAUGCCAAAUCAAAGAAAAAUAUUCCUUACCAAUUAAAUAGGUAAUGAUAAUAUUUUUUUAACCACCAAAUUAGACUUUAAUAAUUAUUUAUUUAUAUAAUUGUCUCUAAUGAGAUUACAUAUGAACUGAACUGAAAAUUUUUAAAAACUACCUAUAUGAAAUUGAUAAAAAGGUAAUGAUAAUUUACAAGAUAAAAUUAAAAUUAACUAUUGUGACCAACCUAUCUAGAGUCACAACACCCUUAACCAAUCUAAGAAGUUCUAAAAAAAUAAAUAAAACUUAAGAGUUCGGAAGUUGGUUGACUUUUUGGCUUUUUUAAUUUUUUGGCU